rnacentral:rRNA from 1 species
GAUGAACGCUGGCGGCGUGCCUAAUACAUGCAAGUCGAGCGAACGGACGAGAAGCUUGCUUCUCUGAUGUUAGCGGCGGACGGGUGAGUAACACGUGGAUAACCUACCUAUAAGACUGGGAUAACUUCGGGAAACCGGAGCUAAUACCGGAUAAUAUUUUGAACCGCAUGGUUCAAAAGUGAAAGCCGGUCUUGCUGUCACUUAUAGAUGGAUCCGCCCUGCAUUAGCUAGUUGGUAAGGUAACGGCUUACCAAGGCAACGAUGCAUAGCCGACCUGAGAGGGUGAUCGGCCACACUGGAACUGAGACACGGUCCAGACUCCUACGGGAGGCAGCAGUAGGGAAUCUUCCGCAAUGGGCGAAAGCCUGACGGAGCAACGCCGCGUGAGUGAUGAAGGUCUUCGGAUCGUAAAACUCUGUUAUUAGGGAAGAACAUAUGUGUAAGUAACUGUGCACAUCUUGACGGUACCUAAUCAGAAAGCCACGGCUAACUACGUG